UUAAGUUAUUAAGGGCGCACGGUGGAUGCCUUGGCACUAGAAGCCGAUGAAGGACGUUACUAACGACGAUAUGCUUUGGGGAGCUGUAAGUAAGCUUUGAUCCAGAGAUUUCCGAAUGGGGAAACCCAGCAUGAGUUAUGUCAUGUUAUCGAUAUGUGAAUACAUAGCAUAUCAGAAGGCACACCCGGAGAACUGAAACAUCUUAGUACCCGGAGGAAGAGAAAGAAAAUUCGAUUCCCUUAGUAGCGGCGAGCGAAACGGGAAGAGCCCAAACCAACAAGCUUGCUUGUUGGGGUUGUAGGACACUCUAUACGGAGUUACAAAGGACGACAUUAGACGAAUCAUCUGGAAAGAUGAAUCAAAGAAGGUAAUAAUCCUGUAGUCGAAAAUGUUGUCUCUCUUGAGUGGAUCCUGAGUACGACGGAGCACGUGAAAUUCCGUCGGAAUCUGGGAGGACCAUCUCCUAAGGCUAAAUACUCUCUAGUGACCGAUAGUGAACCAGUACCGUGAGGGAAAGGUGAAAAGCACCCCGGAAGGAGAGUGAAAUAGAACCUGAAACCGUGUGCUUACAAGUAGUCAGAGCCCGUUAAUGGGUGAUGGCGUGCCUUUUGUAGAAUGAACCGGCGAGUUACGAUUUGAUGCAAGGUUAAGCAGUAAAUGUGGAGCCGUAGCGAAAGCGAGUCUGAAUAGGGCGUUUAGUAUUUGGUCGUAGACCCGAAACCAGGUGAUCUACCCUUGGUCAGGUUGAAGUUCAGGUAACACUGAAUGGAGGACCGAACCGACUUACGUUGAAAAGUGAGCGGAUGAACUGAGGGUAGCGGAGAAAUUCCAAUCGAACCUGGAGAUAGCUGGUUCUCUCCGAAAUAGCUUUAGGGCUAGCCUCAAGUGAUGAUUAUUGGAGGUAGAGCACUGUUUGGACGAGGGGCCCCUCUCGGGUUACCGAAUUCAGACAAACUCCGAAUGCCAAUUAAUUUAACUUGGGAGUCAGAACAUGGGUGAUAAGGUCCGUGUUCGAAAGGGAAACAGCCCAGACCACCAGCUAAGGUCCCAAAAUAUAUGUUAAGUGGAAAAGGAUGUGGCGUUGCCCAGACAACUAGGAUGUUGGCUUAGAAGCAGCCAUCAUUUAAAGAGUGCGUAAUAGCUCACUAGUCGAGUGACACUGCGCCGAAAAUGUACCGGGGCUAAACAUAUUACCGAAGCUGUGGAUUGUCCUUUGGACAAUGGUAGGAGAGCGUUCUAAGGGCGUUGAAGCAUGAUCGUAAGGACAUGUGGAGCGCUUAGAAGUGAGAAUGCCGGUGUGAGUAGCGAAAGACGGGUGAGAAUCCCGUCCACCGAUUGACUAAGGUUUCCAGAGGAAGGCUCGUCCGCUCUGGGUUAGUCGGGUCCUAAGCUGAGGCCGACAGGCGUAGGCGAUGGAUAACAGGUUGAUAUUCCUGUACCACCUAUAAUCGUUUUAAUCGAUGGGGGGACGCAGUAGGAUAAGCGAAGCGUGCGAUUGGAUUGCACGUCUAAGCAGUAAGGCUGAGUAUUAGGCAAAUCCGGUACUCGUUAAGGCUGAGCUGUGAUGGGGAGAAGACAUUGAGUCUUCGAGUCGUUGAUUUCACACUGCCGAGAAAAGCCUCUAGAUAGAAAAUAGGUGCCCGUACCGCAAACCGACACAGGUAGUCAAGAUGAGAAUUCUAAGGUGAGCGAGCGAACUCUCGUUAAGGAACUCGGCAAAAUGACCCCGUAACUUCGGGAGAAGGGGUGCUCUUUAGGGUUAACGCCCAGAAGAGCCGCAGUGAAUAGGCCCAAGCGACUGUUUAUCAAAAACACAGGUCUCUGCUAAACCGUAAGGUGAUGUAUAGGGGCUGACGCCUGCCCGGUGCUGGAAGGUUAAGAGGAGUGGUUAGCUUCUGCGAAGCUACGAAUCGAAGCCCCAGUAAACGGCGGCCGUAACUAUAACGGUCCUAAGGUAGCGAAAUUCCUUGUCGGGUAAGUUCCGACCCGCACGAAAGGCGUAACGAUUUGGGCACUGUCUCAACGAGAGACUCGGUGAAAUCAUAGUACCUGUGAAGAUGCAGGUUACCCGCGACAGGACGGAAAGACCCCGUGGAGCUUUACUGUAGCCUGAUAUUGAAAUUCGGCACAGCUUGUACAGGAUAGGUAGGAGCCUUUGAAACGUGAGCGCUAGCUUACGUGGAGGCGCUGGUGGGAUACUACCCUAGCUGUGUUGGCUUUCUAACCCGCACCACUUAUCGUGGUGGGAGACAGUGUCAAGCGGGCAGUUUGACUGGGGCGGUCGCCUCCUAAAAGGUAACGGAGGCGCUCAAAGGUUCCCUCAGAAUGGUUGGAAAUCAUUCAUAGAGUGUAAAGGCAUAAGGGAGCUUGACUGCGAGACCUACAAGUCGAGCAGGGUCGAAAGACGGACUUAGUGAUCCGGUGGUUCCGCAUGGAAGGGCCAUCGCUCAACGGAUAAAAGCUACCCCGGGGAUAACAGGCUUAUCUCCCCCAAGAGUUCACAUCGACGGGGAGGUUUGGCACCUCGAUGUCGGCUCAUCGCAUCCUGGGGCUGUAGUCGGUCCCAAGGGUUGGGCUGUUCGCCCAUUAAAGCGGUACGCGAGCUGGGUUCAGAACGUCGUGAGACAGUUCGGUCCCUAUCCGUCGUGGGCGUAGGAAAUUUGAGAGGAGCUGUCCUUAGUACGAGAGGACCGGGAUGGACAUACCUCUGGUGUACCAGUUGUCGUGCCAACGGCAUAGCUGGGUAGCUAUGUGUGGACGGGAUAAGUGCUGAAAGCAUCUAAGCAUGAAGCCCCCCUCAAGAUGAGAUUUCCCAACUUCGGUUAUAAGAUCCCUCAAAGAUGAUGAGGUUAAUAGGUUCGAGGUGGAAGCAUGGUGACAUGUGGAGCUGACGAAUACUAAUCGAUCGAAGACUUAAUCAA
rnacentral:rRNA from 1 species